rnacentral:rRNA from 1 species
UACGUAGGGGGCAAGCGUUAUCCGGAUUUACUGGGUGUAAAGGGAGCGCAGACGGCCCGGCAAGUCUGAAGUGAAACCCCACCGCUCAACGGUGGGCUUGCUUUGGAAACUGUCAGGCUAGAGUACUGGAGAGGUAAGCGGAAUUCCUAGUGUAGCGGUGAAAUGCGUAGAUAUUAGGAGGAACAUCGGUGGCGAAGGCGGCUUACUGGACAGCAACUGACGUUGAGGCUCGAAGGCGUGGGGAG